UAGAGAUAGAGCUUUCCUCUUCGGAGGACAAAGUGACAGGUGGUGCAUGGUUGUCGUCAGCUCGUGUCGUGAGAUGUUGGGUUAAGUCCCGCAACGAGCGCAACCCUUGAACUUAGUUGCCAUCAUUCAGUUGGGCACUCUAAGUUGACUGCCGGUGACAAACCGGAGGAAGGUGGGGAUGACGUCAAAUCAUCAUGCCCCUUAUGAUUUGGGCUACACACGUGCUACAAUGGACAAUACAAAGGGCAGC
rnacentral:rRNA from 1 species